UACGCUGUAAACGAUGGAUACUAGCAUUCGGAGGUGUCGACCCCUUCGGUAGCGAAGCUAACGCGUUAAGUAUCCCGCCUGUGUAGUACGAGCGCAAGCUUAAAACAUAAAGGAAUUGACGGGGACCCGCACAAGUGGUGGAGCGUGUUCUUUAAUACGAGGCUAAGCGUAGAACCUUACCAGGGUUUGAAAUCCCGAGAAGUCUUUCGAAAGUUAGAUGUGCCUUAUGGAACUCGGUGACAGGUGU
rnacentral:rRNA from 1 species